AAAGAAACCAACAGGGAUUGCCCUAGUAACGGCGAGUGAAGCGGCAACAGCUCAAAUUUGAAAUCUGGCCUUUGGGUCCGAGUUGUAAUUUGCAGAGGGCGCUUUUGGCGAGGUACCCUCCAAGUUCCUUGGAACAGGACGUCACAGAGGGUGAGAGUCCCGUCUGGUCGGAUGCCGAGCCCCUGUAAAGCCCCUUCGACGAGUCGAGUAGUUUGGGAAUGCUGCUCUAAAUGGGAGGUAUAUUUCUUCUAAAGCUAAAUACUGGCCAGAGACCGAUAGCGCACAAGUAGAGUGAUCGAAAGAUGAAAAGCACUUUGGAAAGAGAGUUAAAAAGCACGUGAAAUUGUUGAAAGGGAAGCGCUUGCAGCCAGACUUGCCUGUAGUUGCUCAUCCGGGUUUCUACCCGGUGCACUCUUCUAUAGGCAGGCCAGCAUCAGUUUGGGCGGUUGGAUAAAGGUCUCUGUCAUGUACCUCCUCUCGGGGAGAUCUUAUAGGGGAGACGACAUGCAACCAGCCUGGACUGAGGUCCGCGCAUCUGCAAGGAUGCUGGCGUAAUGGCUGUCAGCGGCCCGUCUUGAAACACGGACCAAGGAGUCGUCUUCGUAUGCGAGUGUUUGGGUGUCAAGCCCCUGCGCGUAAUGAAAGUGAACGCAGGUGAGAGCUUCGGUGCACCAUCGACCGAUCCUGAUGUCUUCGGAUGGAUUUGAGUAAGAGCAUACGGGGUCGGACCCGAAAGAAGGUGAACUAUGCUUGUAUAGGGUGAAGCCAGAGGAAACUCUGGUGGAGGCUCGCAGCGGUUCUGACGUGCAAAUCGAUCGUCAAAUAUGGGCAUGGGGCGAAAGACUAAUCGAACCUUCUAGUAGCUGGUUUCCGCCGAAGUUUCCCUCAGGA
rnacentral:rRNA from 1 species